rnacentral:rRNA from 1 species
GCGCGGCGGCAGGCUUACAGCUGCAGUUAGCGGGCGUACGAUACGGUCAGCGGCAGACGGGUGAGUAACGCGUGGGAACAUACCUUUUGGUUCGGAACAACACAGGGAAACUUGUGCUAAUACCGGAUAAGCCCUUACGGGGAAAGAUUUAUCGCCGAAAGAUUGGCCCGCGUCUGAUUAGCUAGUUGGUGAGGUAACGGCUCACCAAGGCGACGAUCAGUAGCUGGUCUGAGAGGAUGAUCAGCCACAUUGGGACUGAGACACGGCCAAACUCCUACGGGAGGCAGCAGUGGGGAAUAUUGGACAAUGGGCGAAAGCCUGAUCCAGCCAUGCCGCGUGAGUGAUGAAGGCCCUAGGGUUGUAAAGCUCUUUUGUGCGGGAAGAUAAUGACGGUACCGCAAGAAUAAGCCCCGGCUAACUUCGUGCCAGCAGCCGCGGUAAUACGAAGGGGGCUAGCGUUGCUCGGAAUCACUGGGCGUAAAGGGUGCGUAGGCGGGUCUUUAAGUCAGGGGUGAAAUCCUGGAGCUCAACUCCAGAACUGCCUUUGAUACUGAGGAUCUUGAGUACGGGAGAGGUGAGUGGAACUGCGAGUGUAGAGGUGAAAUUCGUAGAUAUUCGCAAGAACACCAGGUGGCGAAGGCGGUCAACUGGCCCGAUACUGACGGCUUGAGGCCCGAAAGCGUGGGGGAGCAAACAGGGAUUAGAUACCCUGGGUAAGUCCACGGCCGUAAACGAUGAAUUGGCAAGGCCGUAAGUGGGGUUUACUCACCUAAAUGGGCAAUUAACGCUUUAAGGCAUCCCGGCUGGGGAGGAUACGCGCGCAGGAUUAAACCUCAAGGAUUGGACGGGGGCCCGACCAAGCGGGGGACCUUGUGGGUUAAU